rnacentral:lncRNA from 1 species
GCUGAGCCCGUCGCUGGGCCCCUCGGAGCUGGCUGAGAUCCUGCGGGGGCUGCUGGAGCUCUACAGCACCGACAGCGCCGCGGGGGGCUGCGGCCGCGCAUAAUGAAGCAUUUCCUGACGGGCCCUAAUGAGCCGGGCGCUAAUUAUGCUAAUUAGGCUAAUUGGCGGCGUUAAUUGGGCCUGGCCCCCUCCCCCCCCCCCCUUCGCCGUUCCCCUGUCAUGGCGCCGCUCCCUUCCCGCCCUUUCCUGUCAGGGCGGCGCGCGCCCUUCCCGCCCUUUCCCCCAGCCAAUCGCCGCCCUCGCUUCUUCCCGCUCGCCGCGCCUCGCCCAAUCGCCGCGCGCCAUUCUCCCGCCGCGCCCUUUCCGCGCGCUGAUUGGAGGAGGCGCAGCCUCCCUCCCUCCCUCCGCGCGAAGGGGCGGGACCCCAGCGAGGACGGACGUCCCCUCCCACCAAUCACAUCGCGGCCCGCCGGCAGCGCCGCCUCCCCAUUGGCCGCGGGGGUACAGAAGGUCCGAGCCUUUAUUGGCUACAGGGGGCGGGGCUGUACAGGGGGCGGGGCGUUGCCGUGGCGACGGCGGGGCGGGAAGCGGGGCGUUGCCAUGGCGACGGUUGCGGCCUGGUCGCGGCCUGGUCGCGGCCUAGGCCCCGGAGCAGGCCCCGGAGCGGCCCCGGCCCGGCCCCGGCCCCGGCCCCGCCCUAGGCGGGCGCCACGGAGGAGCUGGAGACCGACGAGACCUCGGUGCGGGACGUGGACACCUCGGAGCCGUCGUCAACCUUGCGGCCAAACAGCUGCAGGAUGCAGUUACGGAACUGGGGGGGGGGGGCCCCCGGCAGCUUCCCCUGCCCCACCCAUCUCAGCCCCACAGAGCCCCAUAUGGCCCCAUAGGGCCCCACACAGCCCACCCCACAUCCUCCUGCCCCACAUCUCACCCCACAGCCAGGCCCCACGGCAGCCCCACAGUGCCCUGCCCCACAUCUCCCAGCCCCACACCCUCAGCUCCACACUCCCCAUAGCCUGCCCCACAUCUCCCCACACCUCCAGCCUCAUUCCCCACACCCCCAGCCCCACACCCUGCCCCCCUACUCCCUCCACAUCCCACCCC